GACGAACGCUGGCGGCGUGCUUAACACAUGCAAGUCGAACGGAAAGGCCCUGCUUUUGUGGGGUGCUCGAGUGGCGAACGGGUGAGUAACACGUGAGUAACCUGCCCUUGACUUUGGGAUAACUUCAGGAAACUGGGGCUAAUACCGGAUAGGAGCUCCUGCUGCAUGGUGGGGGUUGGAAAGUUUCGGCGGUUGGGGAUGGACUCGCGGCUUAUCAGCUUGUUGGUGGGGUAGUGGCUUACCAAGGCUUUGACGGGUAGCCGGCCUGAGAGGGUGACCGGCCACAUGGGGACUGAGAUACGCCCCAGAAUCCUACGGGAGGCAGCAGUGGGGAAUAUUGCACAAUGGGCGAAAGCCUGAUGCAGCAACGCCGCGUGCGGGAUGACGGCCUUCGGGUUGUAAACCGCUUUCGCCUGUGACGAAGCGUGAGUGACGGUAAUGGGCAAAGAAGCACCGGCUAACUACGUG
rnacentral:rRNA from 1 species